UUUUUUCUUUGGUUAUUUAUACACCACUGUGAAAAUACUAAAAAAAGAUCGCGUUAAAAUUCAUGAGGAGAUAAAACACCGAUGAUUUCACGCGACGUAUAUGAUACCGGUCAUUCCGAGAAAUAAAGCGCAACGUUCAAAAUACAUAUACGCUCAAAAAUAUUUGUACAGCAGUAAGAAGCUUUUCAAUGAGAACUUAUGACUUGUUCGCUAAUUCUGGAUACUGGAUUAACUUAAAAUUUAUUUCAUAUGUUAAUUGAUAAUUGAGAACUUCACCGAACUUUCAGCAAUAUAUCAACAAGUACAUCAGGACGGAUAAUAUUAAUAUAUAUGACAAUGUCUUAGUAUUUUACAUGUUGUGCAAUAUUUUAAGAAGAUAUCAGUUUAGUAGAAUUGUAAUAAUAAACCAUAAUAUAUUAGCGAUAAAAAUGUAUUACUUCGUAAAAAAUCGUAAAAAGGUAUUACUGAAUAUUUUAUAUAUAUCGUCAUAAAUGAACGUUCUGCGAAUUAUUCACGAUAUUUUGCAAAAGCAUACGAAUGUUUCCACUAAGAGAUUAUUGACUCUGCAACAUAUGCGCACAAUGGAAUUAUGCAAAUUGAAUAAGACAUAACUUAUAGACGACCUCAUAAAGUACUACUUUUUCCAAGUACAAAUUUUGUGCUUCUGUAUAAUUACUUGCAAAUGGCAAAGUAUAUAACAAAAGAUUAAUGAUCGUGAAUAAUGUAAAAUAUGUACAUUUCAUUUGAAUACGAAAUAAUACGGCUGUCCUUGUAAUUAAUACUUAUUAAUAAACCUAAUCAGGAAUAUAAUUAUGGCAUAUGAAAUGGAAGAGAAGAUAUCGUCUGUAAUAGUAUGUUUGUUAAAAGAAUAGAAUAUUUGUAAUUAUAAAUUUUAUAUAUUUAUAUUAUUUAUUUUUAUAUAUUAAUUGUAAUUAUAAAAAAUAUCUACAAUUUACAAAAGACGUUGAAAGGAAGAGAUAAGUAAAUCGUUAUUUAUGAAAUUUAUGGAGAAAGAAUUUAUGGAGAAGUCUUUAUUUGUGAUUUAACAUUAAACACGUU